UUAGGGUUUCUUCCCAGCAUUUGGAUGCUUGUGAACUUGUCGAGUUGCAAGGGGGAAAAACUCGACGAGUGGCCAAGGAGCAUCGACCACAAGCCUUAGGAACUCGACGAGUUAUGCAAGGAACUCGGUGAGUGGCUGGAUACACUCGACGAGCUCAGGUCAACAUGGACUGUUGACCUGGGCAGUUGACUCUGACUUUGACUUUGACCAAGGGUUGACCAAUUGACUUCUAGGGGUAUCUGGGAAUUUAUAAACCUUGUGAUGUGUUGGAUAUAGGUGGAGGUGUUCGUGGCGGUGAUUCGGGAGUUGAGCUUUCUAUUUCCAGUCAACAAUUGCAAGGUAAGUUAUCCUUACUAUACUCAACGUUCUAAGGCACCAAGGCCGACCCUUUGGAUUGUUAUCUAGUUAUGUUAUGCUGGUAUGAUCUGUUAGAUCGGUAUCCUAGAGGGUAGGAUAAUAUUAUGCGGUAUGUGGUAUGAUCUAUUAGAUCGGUAUCCUAGAGGGUGAGGUAAUAUUAUGUAGUAUGAGGUAUGAUCUGUUAGAUCGGUAUCCUGGUAGAUAGGAUGGUAUUAUGUGCUAUGUUGUAUGAUCCGUUAGAUCAAUUGUUGUCUAUAGGCUGUUGUGUGAUUAUCUGUUAUAUAUAUGUGCACAUGUUUCUUUGGCGGUUGAGGCUUAUCUGCUUUGUGUGGAGGCCAAUAGACCUGGGCAUUCCAACCUGUUGGUUGGGGGCCGUGAGUAUUCCAUCCCGAGGAUGAUUGGACUCAUAGUAUGUGGGCAUUCCAACCUGUCAGUUGUGGGCAUGGGGUAUUUCAUCCCGAGGAUGAUUGGACCCAUAAUAUGUGGGCAUUCCAACCUGUUGGUUAUGGGACUGGGUAUUCCAACCCGAUGGUUGACUGGACCCAUAGUAUGCUGUUUGUGAUUCUAUGUGUAUUGCUGUGAGUAUGGGUAUUUUGGGGGAACUCGCUAAGCUUUCAGGCUUACAGUUUCAGAUUAUUGUUUCAGGUACACCGGGGGAUCGCAGCAAGGCAAAUGCGUGAUCGUACAACUCCUCAUAUUUGUUAUGGUUUCUGGGAAAAACUCUGAUAUAGACUACUUUGGAAACAAAGUUAUAAUAACUAUUGAUUUAAAAAUGUUUUUGAAAAGUUUAAAUUUGGCUUGAAUUUUAUGGGUGUUACAGGUAACCCCAACAAAAGGGCUAAACCCUCAACUCCUAUAGCUCCUAGUGCCUCACCAUCUGCUUCUUCACCCGAUGGAACUUCUACUCAUUCUGCUGAAAUACACUCUCAUUCUUCUAGAUAUGAAUUCAUUCUAAAAAUAUAUUAUUGUUAACAUUAAUGAUGAAUUUAAUUAGUUUCCAUAAAAANGGCAUUGUUGAAGUCCUGUAGCUAAAACUCCAGUUGAUGGUUGAUAGCUUCCCGAACUGUCAACAUCAAACAAUACCCAAUUAAUUAUUGGGUUCCAAGCCGAAGGUCCAACUCACACACUAAAAGCUCAAUAGUCAAGUCAUGGUCCAAAGCCCAACAUAUGGCCAAAUUUUCAUAAUUAGGCCUAGGCCUAUACAUGGUCUUAUUCUAAGGCCCAACAUCAUAUAAUCAUUAAGGCCCAAACUAUGGCCCAAUUUUCCAAAUUGGGCCCAAACCCCUUACAUGGGCCUUACCCUAAGCCCAUUAGAUUAUUUUAGUCCAUAUAAUUAUUCUUGGAUGGCCCAUUAAUAAUUCAACCAUCAAGGCCCAAUAGAAAGGCCCAACAAUAAACCCAAGUGAAGAUAGGGUUUCACAUAAAAUGCCGAUUAGGGUUAAGUUUCCUACUUAACUCAUUAAGGACUUAAUCCUCUAAGGACUUAAUCCAUUAAGUCCAAUAUCGCUUAGAUUAAUCUUUGCCAAUGUGUGACAACCCAAGUUGCCCCGUUACAUUUCCCCGUUACCGUUAACGGAAUAUUUCACUGUAUAAAAGUUCCGUUAAUUAAAGGGCAUCAGUUUAAUGAACAUUCAAUUUGAUUACCUUUAACAUGCCGUUAAGUCGUAAUAAAAGGAAAUAAAAGCGCAGGACACACAUUUUCAUUCAUUUGGAAAAUGUCAAGUUUUAUUAUUACGACCACUAAAUCGGGUGCGACCAAAAGCCCCGUUUAACGGCAGUAUCGGGUAAAAUUUCAUUGAGCCCCGACUGUGAAACCUAUAUAUGGGUGAGUGGAGUCCAUUGGAGACUUUUUACACACUCUCUCUCUCUAUACUCUCUCUCUAGACCCAUUUUCGCCCCGAAUUCGCAACCAAACGCUUCCAAAUUGUAAGUCCGCUUACCCUAGCUUAUUUUGAGCGUAUUGAUUUAUGUUUAAAGCCCAAAAACCAUCCAAGAAGGAAUAGGACAAGGAGUUUACGGCCCAGGAACAUCCUAGGGCCGUAAACCCCUAAAAAGGUGCUAAAUAUGCCUUUAAACUUGACCAUAAGCUUAGAAUCUAUUAAGGGAUAUAGCCUAGGGGUGUUUAAACACUNAUGGAAAUAAUGUCACUGGUAAUUUUAGGAGUUACUCAACCCAAUCAUCAUUAGUAGCUAGAGCAUCCUCUUUUCGUGUUCCACCACUUCAGAUUACCGCUACCCCUUUUCAUGCAAUAGAUGAUGAUGGUGAUGACACUUCCCAUCAUGAGCCACCACCUUCUGCUGCUUCACCAUAUACUUCCUCACCAUCCGGUAAUGUAACGCCCUGAUUUUCAGGUAUUGGUUAUGUGAGAAUUUUUAUUGAUUUCAAGGCCUACUCAACGAGUUAGCUGCCCUACUCGUCGAUUAGCAACGGGUUGGUCCGCGUGUUUUAGUGAUCUACUCGCCGAGUCCAAGAAGGGACUCGAUGAGUAGGAGCUGGCAGAUGAAACCCUAAAUCAUGGGCUAUUGCGCCUUUUUAAAGGAUCAUUGGCCUUCCCCAGCCUCCCCUUUAUAGCUUCUUGGCACUCUUAAACCCUAAAUCAUGUGUGUUUCUUUGGUGUGAUAGAGCUUGGAAGAGAGGGAUCUUGGUAAGGAACAAUUGGGGAAGCAAGAAAAUCAAGGCUAGGAACUCGUGGUAAGCUAAGAGAUUCAUUAGUUGUCACUCCCUGGAAGCUAUUAAGCUGCCUCUUUGGCUCAUCUCUCUUUUAAUCUCUUUUGGGUGGGUUUUAGGAAAAGCAUUUGGUGUUGAGUCAAGAUCUGAAGUUGCAACUUCAGAUCUGGACUUCCUUUGGUCUCUAGAUCCAUAAAAAUAGUAGCUUGGACGAGUAUGAUCCUUCCCUCAAGUGUUGGACUUUACUUCAAGCUUAGUUUUGUCAUUUUGGGGCCUUAAAGCUUUGCAUGCACGUAAAGUUUGCAACUUUACGUGAUAAGCAGGCCUUGGAAGGUUGGAUCUGUAAUCUGGAACCUUUGCAUGGCUUAAAAAGCAUCUGUAUGGAUGAAGGAUUGAAGGGACUCGGCGAGUAGCAUAGUCGACUCGGCGAGUCAUAUGAAGUUGGUCCUGAACUCGCCGAGUUGGAUAAAUAACUCGGCGAGUACGUUGAAGAUUGUCGUAGACUCGACGAGUCGGUUAGGGUUUCUUCCCAGCAUUUGGAUGCUUGUGAACUUGUCGAGUUGCAAGGGGGAAAACUCGACGAGUGGCCAAGGAGCAUCGACCACAAGCCUUAGGAACUCGACGAGUUAUGCAAGGAACUCGGUGAUUGGCUGGAUACACUCGACGAGCUCAGGUCAACAUGGACUGUUGAACCGGGCAGUUGACUCUGACUUUGACUUUGACCAAGGGUUGACCAGUUGACUUCUAGGGGUAUCUGGGAAUUUAUGAACCUUGUGAUGUGUUGGAUAUAGGUGGAGGUGUUCGUGGCGGUGAUUCGGGAGUUGAGCUUUCUAUUUCUAGUCAACAAUUGCAAGGUAAGUUAUCCUUACUAUACUCAACGUUCUAAGGCACCAAGGCCGACCCUUUGGAUUGUUAUCUAGUUAUGUUAUGCUGGUAUGAUCUGUUAGAUCGGUAUCCUAGAGGGUAGGAUAAUAUUAUGCGGUAUGUGGUAUGAUCUAUUAGAUCGGUAUCCUAGAGGGUGAGGUAAUAUUAUGUAGUAUGAGGUAUGAUCUGUUAGAUCGGUAUCCUGGUAGAUAGGAUGGUAUUAUGUGCUAU
rnacentral:lncRNA from 1 species